rnacentral:lncRNA from 1 species
GGCAUACUAAUAAAUUACUAAAAUUCCUAGAAUUUUGAUUCAUUAAAUAAAAGAGGCAAUUUUUAAAUAUAUGCAAACCAUCAGAAAAUAAAAUCUACUAUUUUUCGUGUGCUCUACUCAUUUCAUAGAACUUAUACACAAAUUUGCAUCAUUUUUGGAUUAGCACACAAUUUUCUACACAAAUUCAAAUAUCAAGCAUUUUUAACUCGAAAAGGAAAAAGAAAACAAAAAACAGCCGGGAGAGGCCCAGCCAAAAAGGCCCGCAGGCCGGCCCACUUCCGCUCGGCCC